rnacentral:rRNA from 1 species
CCUACGGGAGGCAGCAGUGGGGAAUUUUGCGCAAUGGGCGAAAGCCUGACGCAGCAACGCCGCGUGAGUGAUGAAGGCUUUCGGGUCGUAAAGCUCUGUCGAGGGGAAAGAAGUGUAGUGCGGCUAAUACCUGUGCUACUUGACGGUACCCCUAAAGGAAGCACCGGCUAACUCCGUGCCAGCAGCCGCGGUAAUA